rnacentral:rRNA from 1 species
UACGAAGGGGGCUAGCGUUGCUCGGAAUUAUUGGGCGUAAAGAGCUCGUAGGUGGUUUUGUCGCGUUGUUCGUGAAAUCUCACGGCUUAACUGUGAGCGUGCGGGCGAUACGGGGCAGACUAGAGUACUGCAGGGGAGACUGGAAUUCCUGGUGUAGCGGUGGAAUGCGCAGAUAUCAGGAGGAACACCGAUGGCGAAGGCAGGUCACUGGGCCGCAACUGACGCUGAGGAGCGAAAAGCAUGGGGGAGCGAACAGG